UACCUGUAGCUCGGCACCACACGGUGUUCGAUAAUAUAGCAUAGCGUGCAUCAGAAAUUAGGCGGAAUUUGGGAGUGGCCUUCUUUAGGAACAAAACCGAGGGGCAAUACGCAGCGCAGUUGGCAAUCGACUCAUGGUCCCGCCCCAGUGGCGACCAGUUCGGUGAUCACAAAAUUCAGUCUGCUGUUAGGCCGACGGUUGGCCAGGCUGUAGGGUGCUUCGCACAACAGCGGAAACCGAACAGUACCCAGGCCAUGACCAGGCGGGACUGCAUAAAUAACUUCCAACAUGCUGUUUUGGCUUUCAACCGGGCCCUCAUCUGUGAUGGCUGGUUGGACUUAGGUUUGUCUGCGCGCGGCAAGCUCGUCCCGGCCCUCCUUACCUUCAAUGUCGGGACAACUCUCAUGUCAUCCACGCGCCGGGUGUGCGCUUGUUCAGGGCCUGUCGGUACCGGUGUUCUCUCCGGGGAAAUGCGGACACCUUGGUUGCGGGCACUGGCUUGCCGUGUCACGCCUCUUAUGGGGCACUUGUGUCGGCCGACUCGAGGCCGGUCCGGCAUCCGGAGGAUAAACUUGCGUUUGACGCGCUGGUAUAAUCAGUGCUGCUGAGGGAUCGCUAUAUUUUGAGCCAAAGAGUAACUGUAGAUUUGGUCUUGUUGCCGAUUGCGAUGGUAUUGAGCCAUUGCUACGUACAUAAGAUCGCGCCCGACGAAGAUGCACUGUUUGGUGACGACCACAGUGGUCGAAGCUGUAUGACGGCCGAUGUGCGGCCGGGCGCGCUGGUUGUUGCAGGCCGCCGGCCAGGAGACGGGAAAAGGGGGCCAAUGCUUCUUAAGUAAGCCUCUUCUUUCAUUGAAUAGCGGGACAAGAUCGUUUAGUAGACGAACGCGUGUCUGCAAACGCGCAUGAACAGGUUCCCUUGAAUGGCAAUGAAUUAGUAGCCAUGUCCUGUUCGCUGGGCACCCAGGAAGAUCUUGUAUAUGUAGUGUGUUAAGAUCUAGAGACGCGGCGGCAAGGUACGCAAAGCACGAAGGCGAAGUCGGGAUGUAUCGGGGAAAACUGGUGUGAUGAAGCGGGAGUAUGGAACCAGUGCGCUGUCUUCUUGUGCUUGCCCGGAGUGGGCACUCAUGUUGGAUGGUUGGGUAGCUGAUGUGAAGUGGGGGCAAGGAAGGAAAUUGGGUUUCUGCAUACCCGCGCAGCUUUAGCACCAAAGGUGAUUUAAGCCUGCCCACACAGUAGGGCACGACAGACCGAUUUAAUGGGUCUUGUAGCCUCUUUACCCUACCGCAGUCACGUGAGUAUGUACCCUUUGCGGGGUUGGGGUGCGUCACUGUCGACUGCCAAAGUAAUCACAACUGCGAGCCACAUCCGGCCAUAACCACAGUGAAGACGGGCAGUAUUAGAGCUCUUCUCACAAGAGACUUCUGGCCACAUCCAGCCUAAGCACAGCGAGUGUCCAAAAUUGUUGGCCACAUCCGGCCUCGUAAGCAGCUUGUGUGGGAUGUUACUGGCCCCUCCAGCCUAUAGCUGUCGGCUGUCGGUCUUUACCGGCUCCAAGCAGGGGAGAAAAAUAUCGGAACCGUUAGUAACCUUAAGCAAUUGAUGCGCGAGGUCCAAAAAACUGCCCGGNCCAUGCGGCAGCAUGAGCCGUCUAUGCGCGAAGUCCCAAAACUGCCUGGCCCAAACGGCCACAUAACAGGCGAUGCGCAAUUCCACGAAAACUGCCUGGCCCAAACGGCCACAUAACAGGCGAUGCGCAUUCCACGAAAACUGCCUGGCCCAAACGGCCUCAUAAGCAGUUGAUGCGCGAGGUCCACGAAACUGCCGGCCCGAACGGCCUCAUAAGCAGUUGAUGCGCGAGGUCCACGAAACUGCCGGCCCGAACGGCCUCAUAAGCAGUUGAUGCGCGAGGUCCACAAAACUGCCGGCCCGAACAGCCUCAUAAGCAGUUGAUGCGCGAGGUCCACGAAACUGCCGGCCCGAACGGCCUCAUAAGCAGUUGAUGCGCGAGGUCCACGAAACUGCCGGCCCGAACGGCCUCAUAAGCAGUUGAUGCGCGAGGUCCACGAAACUGCCGGCCCAUACGGCCUCACAAGCAGUUGAUGCGCGAGGUCCACGAAACUGCCGGCCCGAACGGCCUCAUAAGCAGUUGAUGCGCGAGGUCCACGAAACUGCCGGCCCGAACGGCCUCAUAAGCAGUUGAUGCGCGAGGUCCACGAAACUGCCGGCCCAUACGGCCUCACAAGCAGUUGAUGCGCGAGGUCCACGAAACUGCCGGCCCGAACGGCCACAUAAACAGGCGAUGCGCAAUUCCACGAAAACUGCCGGCCCAUACGUCCUCACAAGCAGUCGAUGCGCGAGGUCCACGAAACUGCCGGCCCGAACGGCCACAUAAACAGGCGAUGCGCGAUAUCCAAAAACUGUCGGCCACAUCUGCCUGCGCAGGCAGUCCAAGCGCGGUAGUACUAGCUAGAUAUAACCUUGGGGAAAGCGCUCUCGGCUUCGUGACUUGUGGUAGUUAAGCCCGGUGUCCGGUAGUUGCUGUGGCGCAUCACACCGCCAGUGCCUGAAGGGGGCCGGUGGACAGAGCCAGGGUAGGUUGCAUGCCUGCUGCAGGAGCCUGUCGCGUUAGCCCAGCCGUUGAGACCCACGCUGCCUGCUGGCCGCAUGAGCCCAGUGUGAAUGGUGGUGGUUCGUCCGUGGGCGUCCUCGAACAUGCGAUCCCCCGUUGCCCAGCGUCCUGGCAGGUUGUAAACCUUGCCCCGGAAAUGUGGCGAAUACGACAAAGGAUCUGUACAACAUUAUUUGUAACUGGGUGUGACAGCCGGAGAAUUCAGUAGUUGUGUAACAGUAUGUGUGAAAGACGCUCGAAUAAACGACACCGAAGUGGUACGCAUUAGAAUUCACAACUCAAGAUAACAACAUUUCAUAACGGAUUUGAACUCCUAAUGUAUGGUGGCGUUCCUAGCGGCAAUGGAAGCUAAAUAGCGGAGGUUGGUUAACCACGUGACAGCUUUCAGCAACGCCUGACCUUCUUCGGACGCAUCAUCCGCCAUUGCUGUUCAAAUUAAGUUAAUGCGCUCAAUAGCGACGCGCACAACCUUCACCAAGGCCCAGGAUCCGCGUAAUUGCGGGUGGCUGGCUAAGGGCCGGCGGCUCCGCACAUUGUAAAAGAUUAUCGCUUCGGGCUGAGCUAACAUCAGCUGGGUUAGCUCCUCGUGCUCCUUCAGCCUCCGGUCGAAGUAAGCUGUGAGUGCUGGCGAAAUAACUCGCGCUCCUCAGCUAGCUGCUGUUCGAAGAGGGCCCGCAUUUCGGGAGUGAGCACUAAUCUUUCUGCGCCCGCAGCGCCAAUUUCCAUAGCCGACAUUCGAUUCUAGUAUUGCUAAGAAAAGACGGUGCAACACAUAACUAGAGGACACUGUCCCAGCAGCGGGACACACCUCUUGGUAAUAGUCAAAACAACGGCAGUUAAAGAACCAAUGCGCCUGUGGGACCCAAGUAGGAGCUCGGCGUCCCUUGCCGUACUGCGGUCCGGCACAUGCAUGCAUGCAUGCGCCCGACUUCCACGCACCACGGCAGUUCCUUCGCAAUAACUUGCCU
rnacentral:lncRNA from 1 species